GCAUGGCUGACCACGGGCGAACGCGGACUACUAGAGAGGGAUAUAAACGGCGACUGGUCAGACUAGCAGUUAGAGCCGGUCAGGACAAGUUUAACUUUCAACUAGCGGACCUACAUCAAGCACGGUGAGGUACGUGUAUAUCAAGAUUCUGCACACCUUAAAGGCCAAUACCUCAUACUAAAAUGACGUCUGUGUUAACGGUUCUCAGCGUACUGAGUGUGGUGCUGAGUUUAGCAGUGAGCGAGACCCUGCAUCCGACAACUUUCAUUAACGAGAAGAACACAGAGUGCUACAAUGUCCACAGUGUCUCCAGAAUCUGCUUCGGUUGUGCUGUACGUCACAACGAUCAGUUCGCCAUAGUCUACGAGAAGUGCUGCAUGAACGACCCUGAGUACAGAGAUUACUGCACGUCUUUAACCCCUGAACCCCUGCGACGUGGAGGAAUCUGGCACUUGAACUACCAGAAAAAAUGAGCAUCACGUCUCCUUGUCUUCUAGAACUCAACCGGCACAGAAUCACGGUCUAAAACCGUAAUAACAAAUUAAUAAUUUUAAAAUUUUCUGAGCUUGAUAUUUUAAAAAUUAUAAUCUAAAUUACUGCAUUUUAGGGGUUUAAAAUGCUCCGUUACUUUAGAAAAAGUAUGACAUUUAUAUUAGAAUUCUUGUUUAUUCAAAAUUACAUUUGUAUUACAUAUAAUUAUAUCAUUCGAAAGAUUUUAACUUACAAUUCCUUGUCUAAUUCAAAUGAUGCUUUAUUUUUUGCAGAAUAUAAAGCAAAAAUAAAAAAUUUAGAUUAGGUAAGAUACAGUUUAUGUUGCAUUCCAAAAGAAAGCAUAGAUUGUUUUACUAAAUUUACAUAUACUUUUAAAUAUUUAAAAUGUUUUUGAUUCAGAAAUAAAAU